rnacentral:rRNA from 1 species
UCGGGAAUAUUGCGGCAAUGGAGGAAACUCUGACGCAGUGACGCCGCGUGCAGGAAGAAGGUUUUCGGAUUGUAAACUGCUUUAGACAGGGAAGAACAAAGACAGUACCUGUAGAAUAAGCUCCGGCUAACUACGUGCCAGCAGCCGCGGUAAUACGUAGGGAGCAAGCGUUAUCCGGAUUUAUUGGGUGUAAAGGGUGCGUAGACGGGAAAUUAAGUUAGUUGUGAAAUCCCUCGGCUUAACUGAGGAACUGCAACUAAAACUGGUUUUCUUGAGUGCUGGAGAGGAAAGUGGAAUUCCUAGUGUAGCGGUGAAAUGCGUAGAUAUUAGGAGGAACACCAGUGGCGAAGGCGACUUU